rnacentral:rRNA from 1 species
UACGUAGGGGGCAAGCGUUGUCCGGAUUUAUUGGGCGUAAAGAGCGUGUAGGCGGCCAUACAGGUCAGCUGUGAAAACUCGAGGCUCAACCUCGAGACGUCGGUUGAAACCGUAUGGCUAGAGUCCGGAAGAGGAGAGUGGAAUUCCCGGUGUAGCGGUGAAAUGCGCAGAUAUCGGGAAGAACACCCGUGGCGAAGGCGGCUCUCUGGGACGGUACUGACGCUGAGACGCGCAAAGCGUGGGAGGCAACAGGGAUA